UAGUAUUAUUUUCACUACCAAUUUUUAUGAAAACUAAGUAGCAGGCUUUGGAAAAAAUUGACACACUGCAUAAUGACAUUAACAUUUGUUGUAAUUGAUUAGUUGUCAUUUUGCAUUCAAAUUGUUAAUAUCUUUUUAACUAUGGAAGACUUUUCGACCCGUGAAAAAGUAGAUAUUCAUUUUAUGUAUGGGUUUUGCAAUGGAAACGCACAUGCCGCUGCACGAGAGUAUCGGCGGAGGUUACCUGCAAGAAGGCUUUCAAAUUGGAAAGUUUUUGUUAGAUUUUAUAGAAAUUUACUUGAAUAUGGAUCCUUGAGGUGCGUGAGGGCAAGGAAUACCAAUUGCAAAUGAUUGUUAUGGGGAAGUACUGAAUUUAAUUGAAGAAAACCCUCAAAUAUCAUUGAGAACCUUAGAAGAGAUUACCAAUAUCCCAAAGUCAAAUAUUGGAAGAAUGACUAAGAUGUUAGGAUACCAUCCUUUCCAUUAUAAAAGGGUUCAGGAGUUAGAAGAAGAAGAUUUUCCAGCUCAAGUAGACUUUUGUCAUUGGAUUUUAAAUCACCCAAAUCUUCGUCAAAAAAUUUUGUGGUCAGCUGAGGCAACUUUUUCUAGGAGUAAGGGCUUUAACAGCCGUAAUACUCAUUUUUGGAGCAUCGAGAAUCCGAGAGUAGUUCGACGAACUAACUUUCAGCAUAGAUUCUCCUAACGUAUGGGUGGGUUUAAUAGGAGAUAAAUUGAUAGGCUGAUAUUAUUUUGCCACACAGGUUAACUGGUCGUCAUUAUUUAAAUUUUCUUCUAAACAAUCUCAGAGAUUUACUGAACGAUGAUUUUUCAGCACCAUGGGGCACCAGCUCACUACAGCCGACAGGUGAGAAACUGGCUGGACAAUAAUUUUACAGGCAGAUGGAUAGGUCGAGGUGGUCCAAUAAACUGUCCUGCACGAUCGCCCCACCUUAAUCCUCUGGAUUAUUAUUUUUGGGGUAAUAUGUGCAAUAUUAUUUAUGCCACCGAAAUUGAUACUCCAGAAGAGCUUCAGAGGCGAAUUAUCGCAGCUGCAGGCCAAAUAAGAGAAAACCGAUUUGAAAUUCUUAGAUCGACCCAAAACAUUCAAAAAAGAUCCAGGUUAUGCAUUCAGGAAAACGGAAACUUGUUUGAACAUUUGCCUGAAAUAAAUUAGUAUUUUUAUCUGUUUGCAAUUUUAUUUGUCAAUUUACUUUUGAAGCGUGCUAUUAAGUUUUAAUAAAAAUUGUUAUUAAUAAUA